CCAAACUUGGUCAUUUAGAGGAAGUAAAAGUCGUAACAAGGUCUCCGUAGGUGAACCUGCGGAGGGAUCAUUAUGAGUUAUUCAACUCCAAACCCACUGUGAAUCUAUCUACGUCUACUGUUCCUUUGGCAGGUGAUCCCUGGGAGGGGUCUCUGAGCCGGCUUCGGUGCCUGCCGAAGGAAUAUAAACUCUUCUGUUCACAGUUGUCUGAGUUAUUACAAAUAAAGUUAAAACUUUCAACAACGGAUCUCUUGGUUCUGGCAUCGAUGAAGAACGCAGC
rnacentral:misc_RNA from 1 species